GCGACAGGCCCGAUGAGCRUGACGGGCGGGCAGCGGGGCGCCACUCACACCGGAAUCUCAUGGCGGAKAAKCCAGGCCAACGUAGCCGCAGCCCGAUAACGCCUGCUGCGAACRCCCCUACCCAWUCCAGCUCCCAUAGCGUAUAUUAAAGUUGUUGCAGUUAAAAAGCUCGUAGUUGGAUUUCGGAAGGUCCUUAGCAAUCCGCCCCUUCGGGGAGCGGGUUGCUGGCCUCCUAUGUUCCUAACGGUCCUCAUCCGCGAGGGUGGGGAAUCAACCGCUAGGAUCGUUUACUUUGAGGAAAUUAGAGUGUUCAAAGCAGGCGUAACUCGCCUCCGAAUACGUUAGCAUGGGAUAAUGGAAUACGACUUCGGUCUUGUUUCGUUGGUUUCGCUUGGCUGAAGUAAUGAUUGAUAGGGACAGUUGGGGGCAUUAGUAUUUAGUUGUCAGAGGUGAAAUUCUAGGAUUUACUAAAGACUGACCAAUGCGAAAGCAUUUGCCAAGGAUGUUUUCAUUAAUCAAGAACGAAAGUAGGGGGAUCGAAGACGAUCAGAUACCGUCGUAGUCUCUACCGUAAACUAUGCCGACCAGGGAUCCGGAGAGUUUGCAUGGAUGACUCCCCGGGCACCUUGUGAGAAAUCAUAAGUGUUUGGGUUUUGGGGGGAGUAUGGUCGCAAGGCUGAAACUAAAGGAAUSACGAAGMCCCCCMAAGUGG
rnacentral:rRNA from 1 species